AUUGAACGCUGGCGGCAGGCCUAACACAUGCAAGUCGAGCGGAUGAAGGGAGCUUGCUCCUGGAUUCAGCGGCGGACGGGUGAGUAAUGCCUAGGAAUCUGCCUGGUAGUGGGGGAUAACGUCCGGAAACGGGCGCUAAUACCGCAUACGUCCUGAGGGAGAAAGUGGGGGAUCUUCGGACCUCACGCUAUCAGAUGAGCCUAGGUCGGAUUAGCUAGUUGGUGGGGUAAAGGCCUACCAAGGCGACGAUCCGUAACUGGUCUGAGAGGAUGAUCAGUCACACUGGAACGGAGACACGGUCCAGACUCCUAAGGGAGGCAGCAGUGGGGAAUAUUGGACAAUGGGCGGAAGCAUGAUCCAGCCAUGCCGCGUGUGUGAAGAAGGUCUUCGGAUUGUAAAGCACGUUAAGUUGGGAGGAAGGGCAGUAAGUUAAUACCUUGCUGUUUUGACGGUACCAACAGAAUAAGCACCGGCUAACUUCGUG
rnacentral:rRNA from 1 species